GUCUCCCAUCCAAGUACUAACUAGGCCCGGACCUGCUUAGCUUUCGAGAUCAGACGAGAUCGGGCGCAUUCAGGGUGGUA
rnacentral:sRNA from 1 species